AUGAUAAAAAGUUGAUUCUGCUUUAGUUUUGAAAUUAAUUUUAUGAUUUAAUUACAUGUGAAUUUUUGUGUGUUUAUUAUUUACCUUAAUGGUUUAUUUAUUUAUUCGCAGUUUUUAUUUUUGGGGUUUUAACUUUUGUUAGAUCUGGAUAAUUGUAAUAGGAUUGUUAAUUAUUGUGCCAGCAAACGCGGUUAUACAAUUAAUCCGAGUUUAUUUUUUUUAUUUAGUAUUUAUAUAUUUUUCUUGAAUUUAUAUUUUAUUUUAUUGGGUGAAAUUUUAAUUUAUUUUUAGGUUUUGGUUAUUUUGAUUAUAUGAAGUUCAAUAUUUAAACUAGGAUUAGAUACCCUAUUAUUUUGAUGGUAAAAUUUAUUCUUAUUUAGUAUUAAUAGUUAUGGUCUUUAAAUUAAAAGGAUUUGGCGGUAAUUUAAUCUUUUCAGAGGAACCUGUUCUUUAAUUGAUGAUCCACGUUGUAUAUUACUUUAACUUUGUUUGUAUACCUCUGUCAUUGAAUGUUUUAUUAGGAUAUUUUCUUUUAAUAUUUUUUUAUAUAAUGUCAGGUCAAGGUGCAGCUAUGUUUUAGAUAGAAAUGGGUUACGUUUAAUGAUUAUUUAUUGGAUAUUUUGUUGUGAUAUAUUUUUGAAAUAGGAUUUGAUAGUAAGGGGUUUUAUUUUUUAUCCUUGAUUAAGGCUCUAAAUUAUGUACACAUCGCCCGUCACUCUCACUUUUUAAGGUGAGAUAAGUCGUAACAAAGUAAUUUUACUGGAAAGUGAAGUUGGUUAGAAAUA
rnacentral:ncRNA from 1 species